rnacentral:rRNA from 1 species
GACGUACCACCCAAACGUUUAUUCGGAUUCACUGGGCUUACAGAGUCCGUAGGCGGUCGAGAAAGUUGGAUGUGAAAUACCUCAGCUCAACUGAGGAAUUGCGUUCAAAACUACUUGGCUAGAGAGAUACAGAGGUGAGCGGAACUGAUGGUGGAGCGGUGAAAUGCGUUGAUAUCAUCAGGAACACCGGUGGCGAAAGCGGCUCACUGGGUCUCUUGCUGACGCUGAGGCACGAAAGCUAGGGGAGCGAACGGG